GCUAGCAGGUGGUGCAGUGGUUAGCACUGCUGUGUCACAGCAAGAAGGUCGUGGGUUCGAUUCCGGCCUGGGGCU